CCUACGGGAGGCAGCAGUGGGGAAUAUUGCACAAUGGGGGAAACCCUGAUGCAGCGACGCCGCGUGAGUGAAGAAGUAAUUCGUUAUGUAAAGCUCUAUCAGCAGGGAAGAAAAUGACGGUACCUGAGUAAGAAGCCCCGGCUAACUACGUGCCAGCAGCCGCGGUAAUACGUAGGGGGCAAGCGUUAUCCGGAUUUACUGGGGGGAAAGGGAGCGUAGACGGUAUUGCAAGUCUGGAGUGAAAGGCGGGGGCUCAACCCACGGAGUGCACUGGAAACUGUACGACUGGAGUGCAGGAGAGGUAAGUGGAAUUCCUAGUGUAGCGGUGAAAUGCGUAGAUAUUAGGAGGAACACCAGUGGCGAAGGCGGCUUACUGGACUGUAACUGACGUUGAGGCUCGAAAGCGUGGGGAGCAAACAGGAUUAGAUACCCCUGUAGUC
rnacentral:rRNA from 1 species